rnacentral:rRNA from 1 species
AUACGGAAGGUCCGGGCGUUAUCCGGCUUUAUUGGGUUUAAAGGGAGCGCAGGCGGAGAUGCAAGCGUGACGUCAAAUUUCGGGGCUCAACCCCGUCUCGCGUCGCGAACUGCGUCCCUUGGUUGCGGGAAGGGGAGGCGGAACUCGUGAUGUAGCGGAGAAAUGCAUAGAUAUCACGAAGAACUCCGAUCGCGAAGGCAGCCUUCCGGCCCGUCAACGACGCUCAUGCUCGAAGGUGCGGGUAUCAAACAGGAUUAGAUACCCUGGUAGUCCGCACAGUAAACGAUGGACACCCGCGGUUUGGCCUGUAUGGCUGAGCCGCCAAGCGAAAGCGUUAAGUGUCCCACCUGGGGAGUACGCCGGCAACGGUGAAACUCAAAGGAAUUGACGGGG